AGUGGGAUAUCUGGGUCAAAUGGUAUACCAUUCCAAGUUUUCAAUUUUCUAAUGAAUCUCCAUACUGCUUCCCAAAGUGAUUGUACCAAUUUGCAGUGCCACUAGAAAU
rnacentral:pre_miRNA from 1 species